UGAUGAUGGAGGACAUCAAGAA
rnacentral:piRNA from 1 species